GAGGGCGGGAAUAACGUGACGCAGCAGAGAGACGAGACCCAAAGAAACCAUGAAAGAAAGGUGGCGGCGGCAUACCGUUUAUGUUUAUAUACUGUCCAUGGGCAUACACCCAAAAGUUGGUCGGUAGCACGCCAUUAAAUAAAGAAGAAUAAUAAAGAAGAUACGCAAACGGGGAGAAGACAACAUGGAGCUGGGAGAAAUAUUGAGAACACUAGGAUAGCAAAGCUAGCUAGCUUGGCUAACAUGGAAGUUAACAGACAAAGCUGUAGCGGUGGACAAUAAUGCACAAUUCUUGUUUAAUGCAGUUGAUUAACGUUAAGGGCAAAAGUUUGUUUUCGUGUGUCUGGCUAAGCUGAAGCUGACGUCGGUUGGUUGCUGAACCAGAGGACGCCAUUUCGGACCGGAGAGGAUGGUGUGUUUCCUGCUGCUGAGGACUUCGCUGUCUCGUUUCAUCUUUCGGACUUGAACUGUGUUUCCCGGACUGACGCCUAACUCUGCCGCGACUUAAAUCCUGAGAUAGGGGUCAUGAAAAAAAAUCCCUGAAAGAGAAAUUGAAAUAGAAACUGAAGAAGAGGAGGAUGUGUGGGUUCAGUUUGGCAAACAUCAACAAUUUCAUUCGCCAUGUGAGGCCUGAGAUGUGACAGUUUGACAAGUGGAAACCUCUGGGGAGAUGCCUCCCAUAACCCUGCAUGAAAUGAAAUCUGGAUUAUCAGAGCUAUCCAUGAAGGACACCAUUGGCCAGACAUGAACUGCACAGUCACUGUGUGUAUAAGCGUGUGUCCCGCAGAAAGUAACUAUCUUCACAGACGUAUCCACAGAGUAAUUUAAAAUAAGGUAAAACCAGUGAACAGUAGAGAAUAUGCAAUGAUUUGUGAUCCAGUACGUGCUGUGCCUCGUACAGGACCGAGAUGCUUCCUAACAACAGUUGAGAUUGAACAUGUUUUAUGUGAGUUUUCCAGCAGAGGUUGUGGUCUAAUAUCACACCUAGAAAUGUACAUACACGCUUUCAACAUUCACACCAUCUAUUUUAACAUGUACUUGAUUGUUUGACGUAGAAUUUCCAACAUGCUUGAAUUUAAUUGUAAUUUAUUACUGUCAAACCACCUUUUUAAUUUGCUCAUUUCAGAUGUGAUUAACUCCAGAAGCUGAUGCAAAUCCUCUCUGAUACAAAAAUUUGUAUCUGCAAAUCGGACACAUUUUUAGAAUGUAUAGUAUGUUUAGAAGGAUGUUUUACGUAAGUCAUUUAUGUAGAGAAUAAAAAAAGAAUUGGCCCCAACACUGAUCCCUGGGGGACACCACAAGCAAUGUCCAAACAACAUGUAUUCACCCAUCUUCACUAACGGUUGCCUGUUAUAAAGAUAGCUUCUCAGCCAGUUCAAAACAACCCCACUGAUACCAUACCGUUCUAGUUUACUGAUGAAUCUGUUAUGAUUUAUUGUAUGGAAUGCUUUCUUCAGAUCAAUAAAUACCCCAGCUGCAUAUUUGA